GGUACCAUAGCCAAGUGGUAAGGCACGAGCCUGCAAAGCUCCGAUUCCCCGGUUCAAAUCCGGGUGGUACCUCCA
rnacentral:tRNA from 2 species